GGUGAAGAACGUAGUGAAAUGCGAUAAGUAAUGUGAAUUGCAGAAUUCAGUGAAUCAUCGAAUCUUUGAACGCACAUUGCGCCCCUUGGUAUUCCGGGGGGCAUGCCUGUCCGAGCGUCAUUACAACCCUCAAGCUCAGCUUGGUGUUGGGCCCCGCCGCCCCGGCGGGCCCUAAAGUCAGUGGCGGUGCCGUCCGGCUCCGAGCGUAGUAAUUCUUCUCGCUCUGGAGGUCCGGUCGUGUGCUCGCCAGCAACCCCCAAUUUUUUUCAGGUUGACCUCGGAUCAGGUAGGGAUACCCGCUGAACUUAAGCAUAUCAAUAAGCGGAGGA
rnacentral:misc_RNA from 1 species